rnacentral:rRNA from 1 species
GACGAACGCUGGCGGCAUGCCUAACACAUGCAAGUCGAACGAGACCUUCGGGUCUAGUGGCGCACGGGUUCGUAACGCGUGGGAACCUGCCUUUAGGUUCUGACUCACUCCCCGAAAGGGGUGCUAAUACCGGCUACUGUUUUCGCACCACGUAUUUAUCUCCUUUGGAUGGGCCCGCGUUGGAUUAGCUAGUUGGUAGGGUAAAGGCCUACCAAGGCGACGAUCAAUAGCUGGUCUGAGAGGAUGAUCAGCCACAUUGGGACUGAGACACGGCCCAGACUCCUACGGGAGGCAGCAGUGGGGAAUAUUGGACAAUGGGGGAAAGCCUGAUCCAGCAAUGCCGCGUGAGGGAAGAAGGUUUUAGGAUUGUAAAGCUCUGUUGCCGGGGAUAAAAAUGAUAGUACCGGGAGAGAAAGCUACGGCUAACUACGUG